AAUAGAUACCCCGGUAGUCCACGCCGUAAACGAUGGAUGCUAGCUAUUGGGGGGAAUCGACCCCCUCCGAAGCGAAGCUAACGCGUUAAGCAUCCCGCCUGAGUAGUACGAGCGCAAGCUUAAAACUCAAAGGAAUUGACGGGGACCCGCACAAGCGGUGGAGCGUGUGGUUUAAUUCGAUGGUAAACGAAGAACCUUACCAAGGUUUGACAUCCCGGUAGCCGUUCUCCGAAAGGAGAAUUUCAUUUAGUUGGACCGGUGACAGGUGAUGCAUGGCCGUCGUCAGCUCGUGUCGUGAGAUGUUGGGUUAAGUCCCGCAACGAGCGCAACCCUUAUGAUUUAGUUGGAUUUUUCUAAACAGACUGCCCUGGUAACAGGGAGGAGGGAGGGGAUGAUGUCAGGUCAGUAUUUCCCUUACACCUUGGGGCGACACACGCGCUACAAUGGCCGGUACAAUGGGCAGCUAAGCCGCGAGGUGGAGCAAAUCCCAUCAAAGCCGGUCCCAGUUCGGAUUGCAGGCUGAAACCCGCCUGCAUGAAGCCGGAAUCGCUAGUAACC
rnacentral:rRNA from 1 species